rnacentral:rRNA from 1 species
CAAUAGCGUAUAUUUAAGUUGUUGCAGUUAAAAAGCUCGUAGUUGGAUUUCGGAUGGGACUUGCCGGUCCGUCGUUUCGAUGUGCACUGGCCAGUCCUAUCUUGUUGUUGGGGACUAGCUCCUGGGCUUCACUGUCCGGGACUAGGAGCUGACGAGGUUACUUUGAGUAAAUUAGAGUGUUCAAAGCAAGCCUACGCUCUGAAUACAUUAGCAUGGAAUAACACGAUAGGACUCUGGCUUAUCUUGUUGGUCUGUGAGACCAGAGUAAUGAUUAAGAGGGACAGUCGGGGGCAUUCGUAUUUCAUUGUCAGAGGUGAAAUUCUUGGAUUUAUGAAAGACGAACUUCUGCGAAAGCAUUUGUCAAGGAUGUUUNCAUUAG